AUUGAACGCUGGCGGCAGGCCUAACACAUGCAAGUCGAGCGGUAGCACAAGGGAGCUUGCUCCCCGGGUGACGAGCGGCGGACGGGUGAGUAAUGUCUGGGAAACUGCCUGAUGGAGGGGGAUAACUACUGGAAACGGUAGCUAAUACCGCAUAACGUCGCAAGACCAAAGUGGGGGACCUUCGGGCCCCACGCCAUCGGAUGUGCCCGGAUGGGAUUAGCUAGUAGGUGGGGUAACGGCUCACCUAGGCGACGAUCCCUAGCUGGUCUGAGAGGAUGACCAGCCACACUGGAACUGAGACACGGUCCAGACUCCUACGGGAGGCAGCAGUGGGGAAUAUUGCACAAUGGGCGCAAGCCUGAUGCAGCCAUGCCGCGUGUGUGAAGAAGGCCUUCGGGUUGUAAAGCACUUUCAGCGAGGAGGAAGGCGUGAAGGUUAAUAACCUUGACGAUUGACGUUACUCGCAGAAGAAGCACCGGCUAACUCCGUGCCAGCCGCCGCAGUAA
rnacentral:rRNA from 1 species